rnacentral:rRNA from 1 species
CGGUCCAGACUCCUACGGGAGGCAGCAGUAGGGAAUCUUCCGCAAUGGGCGAAAGCCUGACGGAGCAACGCCGCGUGAGUGAUGAAGGUUUUCGGAUCGUAAAACUCUGUUAUUAGGGAAGAACAUAUGUGUAAGUAACUGUGCACAUCUUGACGGUACCUAAUCAGAAAGCCACGGCUAACUACGUGCCAGCAGCCGCGGUAA